UACGUAGGGGGCUAGCGUUGUCCGGAUUUACUGGGCGUAAAGGGUGAGUAGGCGGUUAUAUAUGUCAGGUGUAAAAAGCUAUGGCUUAACCAUAGUAAGCACUUGAAACUGUAUGACUUGAGUGCAGGAGAGGUAAGCGGAAUUCCUAGUGUAGCGGUGAAAUGCGUAGAUAUUAGGAGGAACACCGGUGGCGAAGGCGGCUUACUGGACUGUAACUGACGCUGAGUCACGAAAGCGUGGGUAGCAAACAGGAUUAGAUACCCUGGUAGUCCCU
rnacentral:rRNA from 1 species